GUCCCGGCAGGGAUAAAGGCUCUCCUGGCAUGGAGCAGCCUCAGGCAGUGCUGCCCAGUGCAAGAGGAAGAUGAAGGCGGCUGUGCUCAGCGUGGCCCUGCUCUUCUCCAUCCUGCUGUGCCCCCCAGCACAGGCCAAGCCACUCCUGGAAGGAACCCAAGAUGAUCUCCAGGAGUUGGAUUUAGACAAUCUUGAGAUCCUGGAGACACCUCUGGAUUGGAACUGUUGGUGAAAACCAUGUCCUGCCCCCCUCCAGUGGCAUGAGGAGAUGAUCAUUCCUGGAGGAAUUGCCUGAUCCCCUGUGAGCCCUGGGCUUUUUUCCUCAAACAAGAAAUAAAUGCAUUCAGCAAAGCCA
rnacentral:lncRNA from 1 species